GACGAACGCUGGCGGCGUGCUUAACACAUGCAAGUCGAGCGGUAAGGCCCUUUCGGGGGUACACGAGCGGCGAACGGGUGAGUAACACGUGGGUGACCUGCCCUCAGCUCUGGGAUAAGCCCGGGAAACUGGGUCUAAUACCGGAUAUGACUUCAUGACGCAUGUUGUGGAGUGGAAAGCCUUGUGCGGCUGAGGAUGGGCCCGCGGCCUAUCAGCUUGUUGGUGGGGUGAUGGCCUACCAAGGCGACGACGGGUAGCCGGCCUGAGAGGGCGACCGGGCCACACUGGGACUGAGAUACGGCCCAGACUCCUACGGGAGGCAGCAGUGGGGAAUUGUUCGCAAUGGGCGCAAGCCUGACGACGCAACGCCGCGUGGAGGAUGAAGGUCUUCGGAUUGUAAACUCCUGUUCGGCCCGGG
rnacentral:rRNA from 1 species